CAAAAUAGAGUGCCACAAAUUCCACUUGAAGCAACCAAGAUGACCCAUCGGAAUGAUCAUCCAGCAGCAGCGAAAAUCAAUACUCUGAAAGAAUAUGUUUCCAUUUAUUUAGCAUUUUUCUAAUUUGGGGAAAUAGAGUGCCACAAAUUAAAUUUGAAGCAACCAAGAUGACCGCAAAGACACUACUUCCCAGUGAAUCUUGGCUUUCGCUUCCCUGCAACUGCAGCUAACCCUUCAAGACGGUCAUCUGUGUCCAGGAGCUGGUCAUAGCAUUCUCCCUCCACAGCCAGGGCCGCGGUUAUGUCCACCUCCAUCCCUCGGUCGAUAGCCUGCUUGGCCAUCCUAAUUGCAAGCGGACCCUUUUGAUUUAUUUCCCGUGCAAUCUGAAUCGACUUCAAAUAAGCAUCGCCAGAAGGAGUGCAAUCGCUCACCAGGCCGAUGGACUUGGCUUCUUUGCCGUCGAUCCUCCGACAGGUAAAUAUAAGUUCUUUCGCAACAGAUUUUCCUACUAUCCUUGGAAGGCGUUGGGUCCCACCAGCUCCGGGAAUUACAGCAAGCCCAGUUUCUGGCAUACCAAAUAUUGCAUCCUCUCCACAUAUGCGAAGAUCGCAUGAAAGAGCCAAAUCCAGCCCACCACCCAAUGCUGGUCCUUCAAUGACUGCAAUCGUCGGGAUUGGGAGCACCUCAAUGGAAGACAACGUGGCACGUAAAGAGUCCACAUAAAGCUGAACUUCCGAAAUAUUCAUCAGCCUGCGUUCCUUGAGAUCGACACCGGCGCAAAAGAAGCCAGGAACGACACUACGCACCAUGACGACCCUCGCCGACUCGUCUGCAGCGAUCACCUCCACUGCGUUCUGUAAUCCUCUCAACAUUCCCUUGCUAAUCGCGUUUUUCACCUCCGUUCGGUCCAAUGUCAGCUCAAUGAUUCCGGAAUCGGCGCCGGACAGCCUCUCGAUCCUCACAGACUCCGGGGCGGUCGACAGGAUUAAGGUCCGUUUGAAUAGAGUGCGGUGGUAGAGUGGCGGCGCCGCCGUAGCGCCGCAACAGGAGGCGGCGGUGGUGGGGCUAAGGGCACUCCUCCAGUGGUGGCAGCGGGAGGCAAUGCACCGCUUCCGCACCAUCGCCUCCCGCUGCCACCACUGGAG
rnacentral:misc_RNA from 1 species